rnacentral:rRNA from 2 species
UAGGGAAUCUUCCGCAAUGGGCGAAAGCCUGACGGAGCAACGCCGCGUGAGUGAUGAAGGUCUUCGGAUCGUAAAACUCUGUUAUUAGGGUAGAACAAAUGUGUAAGUAACUAUGCACGUCUUGACGGUACCUAAUCAGAAAGCCACGGCUAACUACGUGCCAGCAGCCGCGGUAAUACGUAGGUGGCAAGCGUUAUCCGGAAUUAUUGGGCGUAAAGCGCGCGUAGGCGGUUUUUUAAGUCUGAUGUGAAAGCCCACGGCUCAACCGUGGAGGGUCAUUGGAAACUGGAAAACUUGAGUGCAGAAGAGGAAAGUGGAAUUCCAUGUGUAGCGGUGAAAUGCGCAGAGAUAUGGAGGAACACCAGUGGCGAAGGCGACUUUCUGGUCUGUAACUGACGCUGAUGUGCGAAAGCGUGGGGAUCAAACAGG